GCAGCUUCUGAAGCAGUGGAGGCUCAACAGUUCCCCCUACUUUAUAUGGGACAAAAUUCCACUACAUAGUGGUGGAACCACCACANUGUAAAGGGAUGCUUGCACAUGGAAAGUGCCUGGCUAAUCCUUAAAUUCAUUGUAUGCGAAGAGUGGAAGUUACUGGCAGACCGGUCAGUAGAGACUGAGGAUUCUAAAGGCUGCUCUGGCGUCAAAGAUUGGGAAGCCCACCAUGGUUAUCCACAAGAAUUUUGAAAUUCAUCUGGAGACUUACAAGCUCUAGGCGUUUCUGCACUCACCUUAGAUCAGUCUAGGUUGGUUCGCCAAGCGUCCACUCCAUGUUUUCACCUUCAAAGCUCAUUUAAACGCAUGCAAAGAUAGGGGAGGCAACUGUCAAGGUUUGUUUUCAUCUGUUCCAUCUGAGCUACAUUUUUUACAGUGCCAAGUUGUGAAGCCUUGAAUUCACUUGCCAAGGAAAACAGGACUUACUCUUUUAUGUGGUGACCCUUCUUGCCUUUCAUCUUAUAAGGA
rnacentral:lncRNA from 1 species